rnacentral:lncRNA from 1 species
GGCCGGCAUAUCUCAUCUAGGUGCAACUCUAUUCCUAUAAUGGAUCUACUGUAACUAACAUAUAUUGAAAAGUUCUGAAUGAUUAGAUAACCAAGCGAUUGUGCAGUCAAACUAUAGCAACCUUACUGUGAACAGUCGAGACACCAUAGGUCAAAGAAUUAUCUACACAACUACAACAUCGAGUAAGUUACUGAUAAGUAGAUAGCC